CCUACGGGAGGCAGCAGUGGGGAAUCUUGCGCAAUGGGCGAAAGCCUGACGCAGCCAUGCCGCGUGAAUGAUGAAGGUCUUAGGAUUGUAAAAUUCUUUCAGUAGGGACGAUAAUGACGGUACCUACAGAAGAAGCCCCGGCUAACUUCGUGCCAGCAGCCGCGGUAAUACGAAGGGGGCUAGCGUUGCUCGGAAUUACUGGGCGUAAAGGGAGCGUAGGCGGACAUUUAAGUCAGGGGUGAAAUCCCGGGGUCUCAACCUCGGAAUUGCCUUUGAUACUGGGUGUCUUGAGUGUGAGAGAGGUAUGUGGAACUCCGAGUGUAGAGGUGAAAUUCGUAGAUAUUCGGAAGAACACCAGUGGCGAAGGCGACAUACUGGCUCAUUACUGACGCUGAGGCUCGAAAGCGUGGGGAGCAAACAGGAUUAGAUACCCUGGUAGUCCACGCCGUAAACGAUGAUGUNUAGUUGUCGGUAGUGCAUGCAUUCGGUUGUACGCGAGCUACGCAUAAGACACUCCGCCGGGACGGUACGGUCGCAGAUAAACUACGAAGAAGUAGAGNGNGAGAGNGCGACGCGACGACGAGGGAGAG
rnacentral:rRNA from 1 species